rnacentral:rRNA from 1 species
UACGGCAGUGACAAGCGUUAUCCGGAAUUAUUGGGCGUAAAGAGUCCGCAGUCGGUCUUGUAAGUCUGGUGUUAAAGCGCGCAGCUUAACUCCAUUUCAGGAAUGGAAACUGUAAUACUACCAGUGUGGAAGGGGCAGAGGUAAUUCCCGGUGUGGCGGGGAAGUGCGUACAUAUCGAUAAGAACACCAGUGACGAAGGGGCUCUGCUGGCUCAUACCUGACGCUCAUGGACGAAAGCCAGGGGAGCGAAAGGGAUUAGAUACCCCCGUAGUACUGGCCGUAAACGAUGAACACUAGGUGUCGGGGGAAUCGACCCCCUCGGUGUCGUAGCCAACGCGUUAAGUGUUCCUCCUGGGGAGUACGCACGCAAGUGUGAAACUCAAAGGAAUUGACGGGGGUCCGCUCAAGCGGUGGAGUAUGUGGUUUAAUUAGAUGCAACGCGAAGAACCUUUGCAGGGUUUGACAUCCUGCGAAUAUCUUGGAAUCGAGAGAGUGCCUUCGGCAGCGCAGUGACAGGUGGUGCACGGCUGUCCUCAGCUCGUGUCGUGAGAUGUUGGGAUAAGUCCCGCACCGAGCGCAACCCUCGUCGUUAGUGGCCAGCAAUUAGUUGGGCACUCUAGCGAGUCCGCCGGCGAUAAUCCGGAGGAAGGUGUGGAGGACGUCAAGUCAUCAGGCCCCUUACAUAGUGGGCUACAUCACGUCUAUCAAUGCUGCGGACAAAGGGCAGCAAACUCGCGAGAGCUAGCAAAUCCCAUAAGCCGUGGCUCAGUUCAGAUCGUAUGGCUGCAACUCGCAUACGUGAAGGAGGAAUCGGUAGUAAUCGCGAGGUCAGUCAUACUGGCGGUGAAUACGUUCCCGGGCCU